rnacentral:rRNA from 1 species
GAUGAACGCUGGCGGCGUGCCUAAUACAUGCAAGUCGAACGCGCAGCGAAAGGUGCUUGCACCUUUCAAGCGAGUGGCGAACGGGUGAGUAACACGUGGAUAACCUGCCUCAAGGCUGGGGAUAACAUUUGGAAACAGAUGCUAAUACCGAAUAAAACUUAGUAUCGCAUGAUACAAAGUUAAAAGGCGCUACGGCGUCACCUAAAGAUGGAUCCGCGGUGCAUUAGUUAGUUGGUGGGGUAAAGGCUUACCAAGACGAUGAUGCAUAGCCGAGUUGAGGGACUGAUCGGCCACAUUGGAACUGAGACACGGCCCAAACUCCUACGGGAGGCUGCAGUAGGGAAUCUUCAACAAUGGGCGCAAGCCUGAUGGAGCAACGCCGCGUGUGUGAUGAAGGCUUUCGGGUCGUAAAGCACUGUUGUAUGGGAAGAAAUGCUAAAAUAGGGAAUGAUUUUAGUUUGACGGUACCAUACCAGAAAGGGACGGCUAAAUACGUGCCAGCAGCCGCAGUAA